UUUGACCUAUUAUUAUAGAUAUACUCUAUGUUUGAAUUUACAUUCAAGACCAGACAUCUCUUUGGUUACCUUUAAUAUUACUUUGGAUAAUUAGUGCAAUGAUUCUUCCUAUGAUUACACAUAACAUGGGGAAGAAUUAUGUCAGAACUUUUUUCAGUUCAAUUAAUUUUCUGUGUUUUAUUUGUAUUUGGCUUUUUGAGACCUUAAAGAUGAUCAGCUUGAAUUUAUAUAACUUUUUAAAUAAUAAUUACAGUUUAUGGUCAAGAUAAUGAAACAUCCUUUAUCUCAGCAUUAUAACUUUGAUCCACUUCUGCUAAAUGAUUUCUCUUCAAUCUUACUAAAUCAUAAAUAGUUCUUUGUGCCAUAUGUUGUUUUUUUAAAAAUUGUAGUUUAAUAAACUAUUAUGAAUAUAUAUCACCUCAAUUUUAGGAAAUUUUAAGUAGAGAUUUAUUUUAAAUACACAAAAAUAGGGACACUUGCGUGGCUCAUUUGGUUGAGUGUCUGGCUCUUGAUUUUGGUCCAGGUCAUGAUCUCACAGUCGUGAGAGCAAGCCCCAUGUCUGGCUCCAUGCUGAGCAUGGAGCCUGCUUGGGAUUCUUUCUCUGUCCCUCUGCCUCCCCCUCCUCAUGCUCGCUCUUUCUCGCUCUCUAAAAUAAGAAAAAAAUUUAAAAAAUAAAAACACAAAAAUAUACGUUCAGGAAUGCAUAUAUAUGGGGGGGCCUGGGUGGCUUAGCCGGUUAAGUGUACGACUGUUGGUUUUGGCUCAGGUCCUGAUCUCACAGUUGGUGACUUUGAACCCCACGUUGGGCUCUGUGCUGACAGCACAGAGCCUGCUGGGGAUUCUUUCUCUCUCCCUCUCUCUCUGCCCUUCUCCCGCUCCUGCUCUCUCUGCCUCUCAAAAUAAACUUAAAAAAAAAAAAAAGAAUGCAUACAUUUGUAGUAAAAAUGUAAACGCACGGGGAUGAUAAAGAUCAAUAUCCGAGCGUGGGAGGAGGACACAGUCAGGGUGAGAUACACAGGGGACUUCAGCCCUUUUACUGAGGUCAUCUCUUAAGUUGUGUGCUCAUUCUAUUUUUUAAUGCUUUCUUGGAUAUCUUGAAUAUUUUACUAUAUUUUUCUUAAAGCUGAGAAGAGAUCAACUAUCUACCUUUUAAUCCGUGUGAUCUGUUGUAGGCCUUAAUGACUUGAUUUUCAGAUGAACCAAGUUAUCUUGUGCACCUACACUGCUAUUAGUUCAGGUGUUAGUUUCAAAGAAAUAUGCAAAUACUGAUCCAAAAACACGAGCUGUGGUUAGUUUGAAGUAGUUCAAGAAGCAGAUGCCUAAAUGGAAUGAGAUGUGCAAGAGAUUUAUGGGCGGGGACUGUCUGUAAAGGAUAAAAAGGAGGGAGCAGUACACAGGGAGAGCCUUGUGUCUGGACUGUAGGCUUGACACCUGUGACAGAGGAGGAGGAAGAAAGGAGGCCUGGGUGGGAGGAGCCUCAGGCUGCCGUGUGGUUCUAAGAAAGGUCGUGCCAGGCUGAAUGGGUGGUCCUGGAACCAAAGUUGCUUGUCAGAGGAGUCCUGUAUUCAAGAAUGGGCCAGCACUAGUACCCUCACUGUGCUCAGUCAGUGGCAGGGAGCGGCCGUGGGGAAGCAUGACCUUAACAGCAAAUGCAGUGGUGGCAGCCAUACUUCCUGCAGCCAGCUCUUGAAGGAGUUGUGAGCAGAGCAUUUCUAUUGCUGCACCUCUUGUGCCACACGGACCCAGUUCUUACAGGUUUGGGGAGGAACUCCUCUGUGAUUUCCAUGCACCUCUUUUAGAAGAAGGAGUCUGGUUGAAUGGUGAGUAACCCCUGCCUCUGAAGAGCCAUGACUAGUAUUCAUCUUCUCCGUCUUCUGUCAUCCGUUUUAAAAUGUCCUCACUCACAGCGAUAUCACCUUGGCAAGUUUUGGUGGCUAAUCUAAUAGUGUGACGUAAACCUUUAUUCCUGAGGAGCCUGAACCUUUGGUAAUCGUAUCCUUCUCAGACUGGGGUUGCUGCACAUAUCCAUUAACAGCUGCUGUGAAUCAAGGGAAUACCAGCAGGCACCAGAGGGGUUGCCUGCGUUCUGCAUAUAUUUCUUCUCUCUCCCCCCGGCUGCCUCUGGUCAAAGUCAAUUAUUUCUUCCAGCAGGCUGACCACUCUUCUAGCCUGCUGGACAGAAGUCCAAAAUACUUUGAUGAUAGUCAUAACUUAAGAGUUCAGUGGGAGUUUUGCUGUGUUCAGUAGCAAGAGUGUGUACCCCUUUGAUAAGCAGUUCUAACCCUGCAGAGCCAGAGUUUUAGGAAUGGUAAGCACUAGGUCACCAGGAAUGAUGGAGCUGUUCCUUUUCUCCCUUGGUCCUCAGAUACAUGUAAAGGUUUGUGAUUUGAUGGGUUUACUGCAUUCAGAAGGUGGUACUCCAACUAUAUUGUAUCUGAGCUGGUGCUUACAUUAUGUCAUUAGUAGGCCAUUCCACUGAUCUAUGAGAUUGCAUUUAAAAAAAAUUUUUUUUAACGUUUAUUUAUUUUUUUUAGAGAGAGCACGGGACAGGGAGGGUCAGAGAGAGAGGGAGACAGAAUCCAAAGUAGGCUCCAGGCUGAGCUGUCAGCACAGAGCCCGAUGCGGGGCUUGAACUCACAAACUGAGAUCAUGACCUUAGCCGAAGUCAGACACUCAACUGACUGAGCCACCCAGGCGCCCCGAGAUUGCAUAUUUCUCUACUGUGUGUGUUACUUGACCAGUUGGGGUCCUUUGGUUGGGCCCAGUCUUUUACCUGCUUUGCUUUGAAGUAGAUUUCCUGGAUGAAUACCAUGUGAGUGGGACUCAUGCCUGUGAAUUAGGCAUUCUGUUAAUGCUCAGAUUGUGGUGCUGACUGACGCUUUAUGACUGAUAUCUGGGGAUGCCGGCAUAGGUGUCUCUGUGAAGAUGACUUGGUGGCCCUUCUAAGGAUCAAAGGGAUCCACUGUAGUCUUGUUGACACCCAAUGGUUGUUUGUUAUUCUCAAGGAAUAAAUAGUGCCAUAUCAGCACAAUACUGGUCUCUGGCACAGUUUGGACAGUCGGAGACACAACAGCUAGAUCAGCUUUGGUAAGUGGGAAUUCAUCUGUUGAGCUCAUUCAGAGCCUCUAUCUCUGCCAUAAGUCAUUCCAUCCAUAUGCCCCUUGUGCCUCUUCCAGGCUGGCUGAUACCAACUAACAAGAGUUAUUUUGUCUACUUGGUGGUUCAGAGCCUCUUCCAUUGUGGAUUUUUUUGAUGGGCAUUAAUGGGUUAUACAAAAUAUCUACUCUUGACUCCCUCUUGUUCAUCUAUAUAUACCUCUACUCCAGACCUCCUUAUCAGAUCUCCUGGCCCUCUUCCUUCCACAACCUGACCAGUCAUUGACCACUGCCCAGGAAUCUCACCUAAGGCCACUUCUGCAUAAAAUGAUAACCAGGUACAUUGCUUAUAGAUCUACCCAUUGGGAAAGUCUUCCCACUGUUUUUCAAGGCCAUCCCUUCAUGUGCCUUUAGCGUAGCCAUGGUCCAUUUGUGCCUUGUGCCCACAUACUGAGCCAAGCCAACCUAUCAGUUAACUCGGUCAUUAUCCACCUCCUUCAGCUGGUUUAACCCCCAUGGCUGUCGGUACAAAUGGGGGGAAUGACCCUGAUGCAACUGUGGCGGGUGAUGCGGAUGGAGGUCCAUGCUACCUGCUCAUAUGGCUUCCUUGUGCCCUGUGGUCCUGCUUGGUCCUCUCAGAUGUAGCGUUCUAGUCUUUUGAUGGACUGCCUCUGACUUCAUAUAAUUUUAUGUUUUGGUGGUUCUGACUAAAUUCAGCUCCAAAAUGGGCAGUUGUGAACAAAUGGUGUAUUUGGUGUUCAUCGUCAAGCAUCCUGUGUCUAUCAGAGCUCAAUAAACGUGCCAGGAGCUACUUCCCAAAAUGCGUAAUUUUGCACUGCAGAUAGCAUGGCCUUGCUCUGGAAUCCUAAGGUCUUCUGAUUCUCCCACUGGGGCUUACCAUAAACUUCACACUACAUCUUUUUACACCAGUGAUGCUUCCGAUCCUGUACUUCGGGGCUGCCUGUACCAUAGCCUAGACCUGUAGCCUUCUGUAUUACCCAGCAGAUGAGCCAAAGCAGUAAGUAUUCCUAGGUGUGAAAUGUGUUGCCUGCAGAACUCAGAUGUAUCUACUAGGCACAGUGCUUCCUUUCAAUGCAGCAGUUGCAUUUUGGAAGAGAAACUGUGGCACGCCCCCGAUCACUGGACCCCUAAAAGGUCACUAACGCGGCAGGUGCUGAACCUUGAUAGGAUUAAUUUCUCGUCCUUCUGACCACAUGUACCUUACCAACACUUCUAGCAUGUCAGCCAUCUCCUGCUUGUCCUGUCCGGUCAGCAGGAAGUCAUCAAUGCAAUGUAUAAAUGCUCUGUGGGAUGUCCAGUCAGCCUCGAUCUUGUUGGACCAUGAGAGAGCACAGGACAGUUAAAAACCCUAGGAUAAAAUUAAGUGAAUAUUGCUCAUUCCAUGUGAGUGUGCACUUUGAUCAUUUUUUCUAACUGGAAUAGAAAACACAUUUGCCAAAUCAACAGCUGCAUACCGUGUACCUGAGGCCUACCAACAAAUUCCAACUGGGAUCAGCACUAUAAUUUUUGACUGAUUGCAGUGGUGCACAUUACAGUGUUCCCCACAUACCAUCUGGUUUGUGCAGAGGUCAGACUGGCAAAUUAAAUGGAGAUAUGAAGAGACCAUACCUGCUCCUUGCCUGUCCACCCACCCCCAGUGUAAUAAAUACUGCUUUCGAUAUACUAUCUUGGUUGGGGGGAUGAGGUGGCAUUUAAGGCUCUUUUUACUUGUUUUUCUUUUCACAGCUCUUAUCCUAUGGUCAAGGACCCAAUAGGGUAGUUAUUCCAACUACAGGUAUAUCAUUUUUUUAAUGUUUUUUUGAGAUAGGCAGAGAUAGUGCAAGUUGGGGGAGGGGCAGGAAGAGAAGGAGAGAGAGAAUCCCAAGCAGGCUCCAUGCUGUCAGUGCAGAGCCGGACACAGGGCUCAAACUCACGAACUGCAAGACCAUGACCUGAGCCAAAGUCAGAUACUUAACUGACUGAGCCACACAGUUUCCCCCCCACCCCUCCGCCGACUAUAUAAUUUCUAAUUAUACACUGGUGAACUGAGGAAAUGACAACUGGAUAAGUCUGUGGACUCAGUAGACCUACUAUAAGUUAGACUUUUCCAUUUAUAAGAUUCCCCAGAACUUGUCAUUCUAACAGGGUCAUGAUGACCCUCAGGUCUUUGAGAAUAAAAUGUUAGACCCUGGGUCCAAUAAUCCUUGCCAUAUCGUGGUAUUCCCCUUUCUCCAGUGCACAGUUACAAUAAGUAAAUGACUGUAGGUCCUUUUGAGAAACCAUUAUAGCAUAUACUUGUGGUUUUGCAAGGUCCCUCCCCUCAGGGACCCAGCUACCUCUUCGGAUCAGCAGUUCCAGCUCGAGUCUGGUAACUGAGCAAGAGAUUGGACCUUUUUUUGUGUGAUGACACUCAGUCUCCUCCAUUCUUGCCUUCUUCUGGCUGUAGAUGUCAAAGAGUACCAUUAAUGAAUAUCCAUCUGUUUGCCUCAAGGACACCAUACUUUAAUGAUUUCCCAACCUCCCUGCAGAUUAAGGCUAUUUGGCUGCCCCUCUACCCUUGCUGGUCAUUACUGCCUCCUAGCUUUUAAUGGUUAAACACCACCACUUGACCUCUCAUACUGGUGUGUUUGGGGCGCAAGGACAUGAUCGUGAUGGAUUUUAAUGAGCUCACUGCCCUGAGGACUCUUCCUACCAUCAGCUCUGGGCUGCAGAGGAGAACCAGCACUGAACUAUUUGGUGAUGUUAGUGUUCCUCUCACCAGCACAUUCCUGGGGACUUUGUGUGUCCACACCUGGUGUGUCUUUUAGGCUUUCCCAUGAACAUAAUCCGGUCGUCUCUGGCCUUACAUAAUAUAUCCAUCCAUCAUGCCAACUUCCCUCAGCUCUUUAUUUCUUCCUCCACAGGCUACCAGGGCAGCACAGUGUUUCCACUUGGCUCAACAUUGGCCAGCACUUUCUCCAGGCUUCUAGGAGCCAUCCUAACAAGCCCUUUCUUUAGCAAAACAGACCUUCAUUGGCUGAGGAUUUAAAUGUCUCAGGAGCUCUGCGACUCCCACUGUCAAGUCCUAUGUCUGCUCCCCAGCUUUGUCCACACCUUCACUGCAGGAG